CUACGGGGCGCAGCAGUGGGGAAUAUUGCACAAUGGGCGCAAGCCUGAUGCAGCCAUGCCGCGUGUAUGAAGAAGGCCUUCGGGUUGUAAAGUACUUUCAGCGGGGAGGAACGGAGUAAAGUUAAUACCUUUGCUCAUUGACGUUACCCGCAGAAGCAGCACCGGCUAACUCCGUGCCAGCAGCCGCGGUAAUACGGAGGUGCAAGCGUUAAUCGGAAUUACUGGGCGUAAAGCGCACGCAGGCGGUUUGUUAAGUCAGAUGUGAAAUCCCCGGGCUCAACCUGGGAACUGCAUCUGAUACUGGCAAGCUUGAGUGUCGUAGAGGGGGGGAGAAUUCCAGGUGUAGCGGUGAAAUGCGUAGAGAUCUGGAGGAAUACCGGUGGCGAAGGCGGCCCCCUGGACGAAGACUGACGCUCAGGUGCGAAAGCGUGGGGAGCAAACAGGAUUAGAUACCCGUGUAGUC
rnacentral:rRNA from 1 species